rnacentral:rRNA from 1 species
CCCUUAGAUGUUCUGGGCCGCACGCGCGCUACACUGACGAAGUCAGCGAGCAUGUCCUACGCCGACAGGUGCGGGGAAUCUUGUCAAACUUCGUCGUGAUGGGGAUUGAUUAUUGAAAUUCUUGAUCAUCAACGAGGAAUUCCUAGUAAGCGCAAGUCAGCAGCUUGCGUCGAUUACGUCCCUGCCCUUUGUACACACCGCCCGUCGCUACUACCGAUUGAAUGGUUUAGUGAGAUCUUCGGAUUGGCGCCACUGCGGCUCAGCAAUGGGCUCGGUGGAUGCCGAAAAGUUGAUCAAACUUGAUCAUUUAGAGGAAGUAAAAGUCGUAACA